GACGAACGCUGGCGGCGUGCCUAACACAUGCAAGUCGAGCGCUGAAGCCCGGCACUUGUGCUGACUUGGUGAGCAGCGCACGGGUGAGUCACGCGUGGGGAAUCUGCCUGUCUGCGGGGGACAACAUUUGGAAAGGAAUGCAAAUACCACAUAAGAACUUUAAACACAGGGUGUAUGUUAGAAUUAUGCAAUUGCAUCAGUCACAGGUGGUCUCGCGUUGUAUUAGCUGGUUGGUGAGGUAAGGGCUCACCAAGGCGUCGGUGGAUAGCCGGCCUGAGAGGGUGACCGGCCACACUGGGACUGAGAGACGGCGCAGACUCGUACGGGAGGCAGCAGUGGGGAAUCUUGCACAAUGGGCGCAAGCCUGAGGCAGCGGCGUCGCGUGCGGGAUGACGGCUUUCGGGUUGUAAACCUCUGUCGGUUGGGAAGAAGCGAAAGUGACGGUAACUGGACAAGAAGCACCGGCUAACUACGUG
rnacentral:rRNA from 1 species